rnacentral:misc_RNA from 1 species
GAUGAAGAACGCAGCGAAAUGCGAUACGUAAUGUGAAUUGCAGAAUUCAGUGAAUCAUCGAAUAUUUGAACGCAUAUUGCGCUCUUUGGUAUUCCGAAGAGCAUGCUUGUUUGAGUAUCAGUAAACACCUCAAAGGUUUUGGAUUUUUUAAUCGAAAAGCUUUGGACUUGAGCAAUCCCAACACCAAUCUUUUUGAGAUCGGUGGCGGGUUGCUUGAAAUGCAGGUGCAGCUGGACAUUCUCCUGAGCUAAAAGCAUAUUCAUUUAGUCCCGUCAAACGGAUUAUUACUCUUGCUGCAGCUAACAUAAAGGGAGUUUGACCGUAUUGGCUGACUGAUGCAGGAUUUCACAAGGGUCGGCAACGAUUCUUGUUAAACUCGAUCUCAAAUCAAGUAAGACUACCCGCUGAACUUAAGCAUAUCAAUAAGCGGAGGA